rnacentral:sRNA from 1 species
UUGUGUGUGAGGAGCAAGUUAAAAAUUAAAAAACGCCUGGGGUGGAAACACGGUAACACUCCCAGGCGUUUUUUCAU